UUACAAGGCUACGAUAAGAUAAUAUAUCUGAACAUUGAGUAGAACAAAACAGACCGUAAGGUUAUAAUUAUGA
rnacentral:rRNA from 1 species